CCUACGGGAGGCAGCAGUGAGGAAUAUUGGUCAAUGGGCGAGAGCCUGAACCAGCCAAGUCGCGUGAGGGAGUACUGCCCUAUGGGUUGUAAACCUCUUUUGUCGGGGAGCAAAAGCCGGACGUUUCCGGCUGUGAGAGUACCCGAAGAAAACGCAUCGGCUAACUCCGUGCCAGCAGCCGCGGUAAUACGGGGGAUGCGAGCGUUAUCCGGAUUUAUUGGGUUUAAAGGGUGCGCAGGCGGAUUGUUAAGUCAGCGGUAAAAUCGUGGGGCUCAACCCCAUCCAGCCGUUGAAACUGGGGAUCUAGAGUGUGCGAGAGGUAUGCGGAAUGCGUGGUGUAGCGGUGAAAUGCAUAGAUAUCACGCAGAACCCCGAUUGCGAAGGCAGCAUACCGGUGCACAACUGACGCUCAGGCACGAAAGCGUGGGUAUCGAACAGGAUUAGAUACCCGAGUAGUC
rnacentral:rRNA from 1 species